AUGGCGUGCAACUCGUGCAGGUCCCUCGUCUAUGCAUGCCCGGUGCUGGCAACACCUAUGCGUGCCUUCAUCCACGACGUGUCCCCGGGCCUGGCAAGCCUGGACGGCGCUUCGUCAACUUCGUCAUCGUCCGUCUACGCAUGCCCGGUGCUGGCAACACCGGUGCGUGCCUUCGUCCACGAUGUGUCCCCGGGCUUGGAAAACCCGCCGCGACACGUCGCCAACAACAUCUUCUUUCCGGCGCACCACUACUUCGACAUCACUGCGCCUAUGACUAACACGGCGCCUCCUUGCGCCCGCGGCUCCACGGCGACUUCCUCGACACCGGCUACCCCGACUCGACAUCGACCACGGCAUUCUUCGCACGGCUACCUCGACCACGGCUCCACCACCUACGCUCUCGGCUACUACAUCGACAAACGGCACAAAGGGCUACCGCCUGCUUGA
rnacentral:rRNA from 1 species